rnacentral:misc_RNA from 1 species
GUUGGCUAAAAACAUUGGAAUGUCAACAAGUGGUCUUCAACGUUGUGGAUUAAGACUUGGUUAAAAUCGUCUUUCCCAUUUUUUCUGUCAUUAAUUUGAGGAUAUUAUAUGUUAUUUGCAUCGACGGAUGGUGAGAAACAGUUUUUAUGGGCCACCAAGUUUCUGUUGAUGUAAUUUGCAGUCAAAUUGGAGAUCAUAACAUUUGAAAUAUGAAGAGAUUGAUGACAAAUUGAUAUGUAUUUUAUCACCUGAUGGUUAAUUAUGCAAUGGAGGUCAUCUUGGCUGUGGUACAACCUAAACAGAACAAUGUCUACACCCAGGAGUACCGCCCCAAGCUGUACAACAUCCUCUUACUGGACCACAGGACCACGUCCUUGGGGGAGAAGGGGAAGCCCACCAAGUACCUCCCAACCUUCCCUCUGACCAACCUUCAGGAGGAGGCGGGGGAUGAGGUCCUGGCCAAUCUGUACCAACUGACAGGAGGGGACCAUGUCGGCAUUAAAGGAGAGCGGGCUCUUCAGAUCCAGUGGUCCAGCGACAAGUAUAGGGAGUCCCUCACAAGAUUUGCCCUCUUCUGUGUUCCUGUGAACAAGGGAGAUAAACUAAAUCGUAUGUUUGCGGAAAAGUCCCCUGACUACCCUGGGUUUUUCUCUCUGGACUACGUUAUUGAUACACUGAAUAAUGACACAGUGGCCUACCCCCCACCCACCAGAACCUUUGUGUCCCAGCUAGAGAGUUGGUUGCGAGAGAAACAUGCCAUGCCUGGUGCUAUAAACAUUUUAUUUAGUCGGCGUGCGGAUUACAGAGUGAAACUGAGUGUCAACAACCCUGCCUUUUUACCUAGUCAAUUUGAGCAUGCUCACGAGUCCUCUGGAAUGGUGAUUGACUCCACUCCGGACGAGAUCCGACACACGGCUCGAGAGGCCCUCACCAGGAUGCUGGAGAUUGAGAAAUGUGAGAAAGUAGUCCUCAACCCUCUAUUUGGAUCUUCUUUUCCCUGCAAACCAAAGGUGGUCAGGGCAGAAGUUAACAUGUACUGGGGUAUGGGUGUGCCUGAUUACAACAUACCUGUAUGGCCAGAAUCCCACAGAAACAGCAGCACUGGAGGAUCAUAUGAUAGUUUGUAUCCAGAGAAGUAUCAUAUGCACAAGCUUGUGAAUGAAGGCAACCUUCAGGCACUCAGAGAUGCUACAACUUAUGCUUCUCAUCUACUGGAUGAAAAACAUCCUAGAUAUGGAACACCUCUUCACUUGGCUGCAUACAAAGGUAACCUGGAAGCUGCCCGGAUCCUGCUAGAAUAUGGAUGUAAUCCUAAUGCAGUGAAUGAUCUGGGCCAGUCCCCACUCCAUAUAGCUGCCAAAGAGGGACACUGGACUGUGGUUCAGGAGCUCAUCAACAAGCCAGAAAUCACUGAGACUCUGGAGCUUUUGGACAAACAGAAGAGGACACCAUUAAGUCUCUGUGAACAGGAUCCCAGGUCUCCCAAGCACCAGAAAGCUGCCAACCUUAUUAUCUCAGCCAUUAAGAAAACAAGGCAGAUACAGGUGUUUUUAAUGGAUGGGACGUCAAUGAUGCUGAACUUAUCACAUGGAGAUCACACAACUGUUCAACAUCUCAAUCUACAGUUAUUAAGGGCAUUCAAUCUUCCUAUAAAACCUUAUGCAGAUUAUUUUACAAUUUGGAUAUGCUCGAAGAGUCUAGAGUUGCAACUGAAGUUGGAACACAAGCCAGUAGAGCACAUGAAUAACUGGCGUAGGAGAAUAGUUAGCAUGCUGACAGGGGCCACAGAUACCAGUAAAGAAAACCCCACCCUUAAAGUGGAGGAGGAACGCCAAAGUGGGUGUGGUCUCAGAGGAAAGGGAGGUUACCCAUCCGCUAGCCAUUAGAACUCUGUUUUACGAGGCAAAACACAACUAUGUUAAUGGCUUGUAUCCUUGUAAAGACCAUGAUGUCCACACUUUUGCCUCCAUCUUGAUUCUUCUGGAACAGAAAGGAAAGUACGACCCAGCCAGUGCUAAAUCUUUCCUACACCCACAUAAGAACAUGAGCAGUUUGGUACCAGCUCCAAUUCUGAAAGCCAAAGGACAACACCUGUCGUCUACAAUAAUGAAGCGUUACAAAGAAUACUGUGGAGGUUUACAGGACGACUUGAAAUUCCAGAACCAGCCUGAGCAGGUUAGACGUAGUCAGAAACCUUAGAAUCAAUGCUUUUUAUGAGAAACCACACAUACCCUAGAAUCAGUAGGUCUGAGAAAAAAACCAGCACAAAGGUAUGUGUUAAUUUCAAUACCGUAUAAUAUUGCCAAAAAUGCUGAAACAUUGGCAAUGCAUGUCAAUUGCAUUUUCUACAUAUUUUCUGAAACUUAGCUGCACUCAUAGAAGUUAUGUUUACAGUAAUAACCUAACUUCCUUCAUUCCUCCCUCCCUUCCCUCCCUCCCCUCCCUCCCUCAAUCAAUCAAUCAAUCAAUCAAUUACAGAUAUUGUGUAUUGAUGAACUGGCAACUUUUUUUAAAAUUCCAAUUCACAUACUGGUAAUUGAUCUUUAUAAUGAUAGUCUCUGUGAUAAUGAUGGGUAAUAGUAUCACAAAUGCUUGAUUGACAUCAAAUGGCAGAUGCAUUGAAAAAUGUAUGUUCAAUUUUUAAAAUUUCUAUUUCAGUUUCUGCAAGGAAAAUUUCUGGAGUUUUGUAGGAAGUUGACUGUGUAUGGGUCAGCCCUCUUCACUGGAAGUCUACAGCCCAACAGUAAAUCCUCCAUAUUAUGCCACAUUGGUGUCAAUGAUGUAGGAAUACAUAUCAUAAACAUGAAGUCAAAAGUAAGGCACUUAUUGCAUAGAUUGGCAAGUUCAGUUUGCUCUGGAUUCGUAAAUGCUUACAUUGAACUUUUAUUGAAUUGAUGAACUAAAAACCUAUUUAUGCAUUUGGUAAUGCUAAGUUCGAUUAUUAAUAAAUGAAUAUCUGUCGACUGAAUCCUCUUACAUUACAUGAAUAAGUUAUUAAUGUUAUGAAGGCAUUCGAUUCAUAUCCCAACCAAGUCUACAUACCCGGCACUCCAUUGAAAUGGAACAAUAAUUUUUAUAGUUUAAUUUUACUACCAGUAGAAGGAAAAUUUGUUGAGAGGUCUAGUCCUCUUGUUCUCAUUCACACUACAAGAUUUUGAAAUUUAAAAGCAAGAUAUCCAGCACAUUCAUAUGUUUCUUCCAGUUUGUAAGUUAUAAUGGGGGAAAAUUGUAUUGUAAGUUACAAUAGAUAUGAGGUAAUAUCUGUCAAUGUAUAACACCAGCUACUAUAUUAAACAGGCAUAUUUCUAUGUUACUGUGCUAAAAGUUAUUGAUUAGCUAAGGCUUUUGUAUGAAUAUGCUAUUGUGUGCAUCUAUUACAUUAAGGAAUUUUUUUACCUGCAUAUGUAGGUGAUGUUGUACAGUUUCCUGUACUCAGACAUCCGAUGGUCUCACCCAGAGGCCCAGCCCUCCUUCCUGGAGAUAUACACUGUGAAUGACAACUCUGACCCCCGCCAAGUGAAAAUCAAGUCGCGGCAAGCAGGCCUGAUAGAACACCUUAUGCAAAAGCUCAAAGAUCUCCAUCAAUACGAUGACAGACAAGUCAACCUUGUGUUCGGAACUUCUGGUCGAAGAUAGAUUGAAGUGCGAUUUUACUUUUCGGUUGUUCAUUGUAUGGUUGUGGUGUUUGUGUUGACUUCAGUGAUCUGAUAAAUGAUGAAUGAGUGAAUAAAAGAAGUGGGUGUGUAUCUGUGUUUGAUGAAAUGUAUGAGAAAGUUUGUAUUUGUUGUUUUUUUAUACAGUAUGUUUUAUUUAUUAAAGUGCCUUUACAAAG